UCGAGAAUCAUUCACAAUGGGGGAAACCCUGAUGGUGCGACGCCGCGUGGGGGAAUGAAGGUCUUCGGAUUGUAAACCCCUGUCAUGUGGGAGCAAAUUAAAAAGAUAGUACCACAAGAGGAAGAGACGGCUAACUCUGUGCCAGCAGCCGCGGUAAUACAGAGGUCUCAAGCGUUGUUCGGAAUCACUGGGCGUAAAGCGUGCGUAGGCGGUUUCGUAAGUCGUGUGUGAAAGGCGGGGGCUCAACCCCCGGACUGCACAUGAUACUGCGAGACUAGAGUAAUGGAGGGGGAACCGGAAUUCUCGGUGUAGCAGUGAAAUGCGUAGAUAUCGAGAGGAACACUCGUGGCGAAGGCGGGUUCCUGGACAUUAACUGACGCUGAGGCAAGAAGGCCAGGGGAGCGAAAGGG
rnacentral:rRNA from 1 species